rnacentral:rRNA from 1 species
AGUGAACGCUGGCGGCAGGCCUCACACAUGCAAGUUGAACGGCCGCACAGGAGAGCUUGCACCUGGUGGCGAGUGGCGAACGGGUGCGCACUACAUCGGCACCACCCUUAUUGUGGGGGAUAACGCAGCGAAAGCUGUGCUAAUAUCGCAUACGCCCUGAGGGGGAAUGCGUGGGAUCUGCAGACCUCUCCCGAUUCGAGCGGCCGAUGCCUGAUUAGCUAGUUGGUGGGGUAAAAGCCGACCAAGGCGACGAUCAGUAGCUGGUCUGAGGGGACGAUCAGCAGCACUGGGACUGAGACACGGCCCAGACUCCUACGGGAGGCAGCAGUGGGGAAUUUUGGACAAUGGGGGCAACCCUGAUCCAGCAAUGCCGCGUGAGUGAAGAAGGCCUUCGGGUUGUAAAGCUCUUUUGUCAGAGAAGAAACACCGGCUCUAACACAGUCCGGGAAUGACGGUACCUGAAGAAUAAGCACCGGCUAACUACGUGCCAGCCGCCGCGGUAA